GAGAAAGAAGUUUCAAAGGCUCAGGAUAGCUUCCAUUCUGUUUUUCACCUCUGCCUCCUGGUGCUCGUGUCGCUUCAUGGCUGUGCAGGCGCCACGGCCAGCUGAGGAGGAGCGAACACAGGCAGCGGGGAGUGGCUCUGCUUACCGCAUCGCUGAGGACAUGGCAGCCAGCAGCCUGGUGACAGCUCUGAAGUGCGCAGGGAAGUGGUGUCAAACACGUUCUGUGUAUGAAUGAGUCCUCAGGCAUUUUAAUAACAAAUUAUUCAAAGAACCGGUUGAAAUUUAAAAUAUCUUGAAUGUAAUCAAGUGCUUUAAAAGUACUUCCUUUUCUCUCUUAGGCCCCUGUGCUCAUCAUCAUUUCCUGCAAAGUAAAACUGUGAUCCUGAACAAUGGUGCAAGAAUGUUUCCCUUCUCAUCUCUUCGGCUCAGCCACUGCGAGUUCUCCAAGCUGAAAUUAGGCCAAAAUAUUUGUACCUAUGCUACACUCAAAACCCAAGGGAUGACUAUGAAUUUUUCAAUAGUGAUAUUAUUUUCUAUGUUAAAUCAGUCUUAUUACAUUUAUUGUCAUAUUACUAUUAAAAAUGCCUUUAUAAUUAGCUAAGCAAAGCACUGGUUUUAUGAGUAGUUUUCUUCCAAUCUUCUUGUUCCAGAAACAAGUUUUGGCAUCCAUAAGGAAAUAUGCCCAUGUCUGGAAAGAAAUGCCAGAGUCUCCAUUUGUACAUAUCCAUUAACAAGCAUCAGACAGCCAAAGCUACUGAAGAUUAUAUUCUGGUUCUGCACUAUCUUUUCUGUGAUAUUUUCUUCUAACAGUGAAGGUGCCAUCAGCUGAAAUCUUCAGGACACCGAGUCCUUCCAGUAUCCAGUUCCAUUCAUGCUGGAACAUAUCUGAAGAUAACUUGACGCCCAAAGUAAUUCAUACACAGCAACAUCUACCGAAAGACGUGACAAAGGCUGUCUGACCCCUGCAGAUAUACAAG
ensembl:lncRNA